GAUGAACGCUGGCGGCGUGCCUAAUACAUGCAAGUCGAGCGAACGGACGAGAAGCUUGCUUUUCUGAUGUUAGCGGCGGACGGGUGAGUAACACGUGGAUAACCUACCUAUAAGACUGGGAUAACUUCGGGAAACCGGAGCUAAUACCGGAUAAUAUUUUGAACCGCAUGGUUCAAAAGUGAAAGGCGGUCCUGCUGUCACUUAUAGAUGGAUCCGCGCUGCAUUAGCUAGUUGGUAAGGUAACGGCUUACCAGGGCAACGAUGCAUAGCCGACCUGAGAGGGUGAUCGGCCACACUGGAACUGAGACACGGUCCAGACUCCUACGGGAGGCAGCAGUAGGGAAUCUUCCGCAAUGGGCGAAAGCCUGACGGAGCAACGCCGCGUGAGUGAUGAAGGUCUUCGGAUCGUAAAACUCUGUUAUUAGGGAAGAACAUAUGUGUAAGUAACUGUGCACAUCUUGACGGUACCUAAUCAGUAAGCCACGGCUAACUACGUG
rnacentral:rRNA from 1 species